rnacentral:rRNA from 1 species
UACAGAGGGUGCAAGCGUUGCUCGGAAUCAUUGGGCGUAAAGGGUAUGUAGGUGGUCUCAUUUGUCUGGGGUGAAAGCCCAGGGCUUAACCCUGGAAGUGCCCCGGAAACGGUGAGACUGGAGUCUUGGAGAGGGUCGUGGAAUUCCCGGUGUAGCGGUGAAAUGCGUAGAGAUCGGGAGGAACACCAGAGGCGAAGGCGGCGACCUGGACAAGUACUGACACUCAACUACGAAAGCGUGGGGAGCAAACAGG